rnacentral:rRNA from 1 species
AAAUUGAAGAGUUUGAUCAUGGCUCAGAUUGAACGCUGGCGGCAGGCCUAACACAUGCAAGUCGAACGGUAACAGGAAACAGCUUGCUGUUUCGCUGACGAGUGGCGGACGGGUGAGUAAUGUCUGGGAAACUGCCCGAUGGAGGGGGAUAACUACUGGAAACGGUAGCUAAUACCGCAUAACGUCGCAAGACCAAAGAGGGGGACCUUCGGGCCUCUUGCCAUCGGAUGUGCCCAGAUGGGAUUAGCUAGUAGGUGGGGUAACGGCUCACCUAGGCGACGAUCCCUAGCUGGUCUGAGAGGAUGACCAGCCACACUGGAACUGAGACACGGUCCAGACUCCUACGGGAGGCAGCAGUGGGGAAUAUUGCACAAUGGGCGCAAGCCUGAUGCAGCCAUGCCGCGUGUAUGAAGAAGGCCUUCGGGUUGUAAAGUACUUUCAGCGGGGAGGAAGGGAGUAAAGUUAAUACCUUUGCUCAUUGACGUUACCCGCAGAAGAAGCACCGGCUAACUCCGUGCCAGCAGCCGCGGUAAUACGGAGGGUGCAAGCGUUAAUCGGAAUUACUGGGCGUAAAGCGCACGCAGGCGGUUUGUUAAGUCAGAUGUGAAAUCCCCGGGCUCAACCUCGAACUGCAUCUGAUACUGGCAAGCUUGAGUCUCGUAGGGGGGUAGAAUUCCGGUGUAGCGGUGAAAUGCGUAGAGAUCUGGAGGAAUACCGGUGGCGAAGGCGGCCCCGGACGAAGACUGACGCUCAGGUGCGAAAGCGUGGGGAGCAAACAGGAUUAGAUACCCUGGUAGUCCACGCCGUAAACGAUGUCGACUUGGAGGUUGUGCCCUUGAGGCGUGGCUUCCGGAGCUAACGCGUUAAGUCGACCGCCUGGGGAGUACGGCCGCAAGGUUAAAACUCAAAUGAAUUGACGGGGGCCCGCACAAGCGGUGGAGCAUGUGGUUUAAUUCGAUGCAACGCGAAGAACCUUACCUGGUCUUGACAUCCACGGAAGUUUUCAGAGAUGAGAAUGUGCCUUCGGGAACCGUGAGACAGGUGCUGCAUGGCUGUCGUCAGCUCGUGUUGUGAAAUGUUGGGUUAAGUCCCGCAACGAGCGCAACCCUUAUCCUUUGUUGCCAGCGGUCCGGCCGGGAACUCAAAGGAGACUGCCAGUGAUAAACUGGAGGAAGGUGGGGAUGACGUCAAGUCAUCAUGGCCCUUACGACCGUGGGCUACACACGUGCUACAAUGGCGCAUACAAAGAGAAGCGACCUCGCGAGAGCAAGCGGACCUCAUAAAGUGCGUCGUAGUCCGGAUUGAGUCUGCAACUCGACUCCAUGAAGUCGGAAUCGCUAGUAAUCGUGGAUCAGAAUGCCACGGUGAAUACGUUCCCGGGCCUUGUACACACCGCCCGUCACACCAUGGGAGUGGGUUGCAAAAGAAGUAGGUAGCUUAACCUUCGGGAGGGCGCUUACCACUUUGUGAUUCAUGACUGGGGUGAAGUCGUAACAAGGUAACCGUAGGGGAACCUGCGGUUGGAUCACCUCCUUACCUUAAAGAAGC